CUUAGAGACGGCCUUAUGGCAAUUUGUAUUUCAACCUAUGUGCGAAUGACAACUCUCAUUUAGGAGUUCAAUUAUGAUUGAGUCUGAUCUGUUUGUUAUUUGGCAUUAUUGGGAAUGAUAUUGCGAGGAAUAAAGCCACCAAAGCGUAAAGAAGAAUUCUUCAUUCUUCAGAAGUGGUGCUCAACUUGUUUAGUGUGAUCCAAUGAGGAAAUCGCAAGCCUGCGUUUAUUAUAAAUGGCGACGGUGUAGAACAGAGUAGCUGUCAGAACUUGUCAGUCAGAAGGCAGUUUUGCUAAUCCAAAGAAAUGACGAGCGUCAGUGAAACCAGUUCAUUGCCAAAGACUAAAAAACCCUCGGACAGUGCUUUCAAGCAACAACGAUUACCAGCCUGGCAACCCAUCCUUACUGCUGGCACAGUACUACCAACAUUUUUUGUCAUAGGAAUUGCAUUUAUUCCAGUCGGUAUUGGACUGCUAUACUUUUCAGAUGAAGUUAAGGAACGUUCUAUUGACUACACUAAUUGUAUAUCUAAUAAUACAGAGAGGGAUGGAAACUUCACUAAAUGUUCUGAACUAAUCGAAAAAAAUUCUACGUUGAAUUGCUUCUGUUCCUUGAAUUUUACCUUACCAUACGAUUUUGGUGGUAUGGUUUACAUGUACUACGGCCUUACAAACUUCUAUCAAAAUCACAGGCGCUACGUAAAGUCUCGUGAUGACAAUCAGCUUUUAGGCAAAUUGAGUGAUGUGGUAUCUAGCGAUUGUGAACCAUUUGCCUAUGUGGAAUCUAAUGAUAUUAAAAUACCCAUAGCACCAUGCGGAGCCAUAGCAAACUCUUUGUUUAGCGAUGAGCUGACACUUUUCUCUGUAAAACAUAAUGAUUAUGUACCCUUAUUAAAAACUGGUAUAGCCUGGCCAUCAGAUAAGAAUAUCAAGUUUCGAAAUCCUGAUGGUAAUCUGAAUGAUACCUUUAAAAACUUUGCCAAACCAAAAAAUUGGGAUCGUUAUAUAUAUGAACUGGACACUGAGAAUGAAGAUAACAAUGGUUUCCAAAAUGAGGAUCUCAUAGUCUGGAUGAGAACUGCAGCACUACCAACAUUCCGUAAACUCUAUCGUAGAAUCGAUCACACACGAUCAGGAUUUACUGAUGGACUUCUGGCUGGAAACUAUACUCUGCAUGUAAAAUAUUCAUACACUGUGUCUACCUUUGAAGGCACUAAAAGAAUGAUAUUAAGCACGACUUCCCUUCUUGGUGGCAAAAAUCGUUUCCUUGGUAUAGCAUACAUCGUAGUAGGCUGUGUAUGUCUACUUCUUGGGAUAGCAUUGCUGAUAAUACACAUAAAGUGUUCAAAGAGCAAACUAAUGUAAAGCUGGAGCCCAAGAAAGUAUCUUUAGGGCUACCUAAUUGUUCUUGUAAGUGUUCGUUGAAUUGUGUUACGUCAAUACCCUUGUGUAAGAAUCAAAUGAAAAGAGAACACGUGAAAACCGACUCAGUUCAACUUAAGAGGAUGACGAGAAUGGUCGCGCCUUAGGGCACCUUACCUGUCAGUUUUAAAAAAUCCUGGUGCGCUGCCAGAUCCCUGCGACUCUCAAGUAGAAUGUCGGAAUGCACGAACGAGAUAAUCAACGUGAACCAGAACACGCCAUACCAGUGAAGGAAAUCUCACAGGAGAGAAAUGAUACCUAUGCAUUUAUUGAUUAUCCAUCAUUCUGCAACAUGAAGACUCAUGUUUGUACAUGAUCAUCCACAGGAGACCUACUCUGUAGGCAAUAGAUAAACAAAUGCUGUAUAGUCUAUUUUUCUUUAAGCAUUCACAAGUCUGGCAGUGCCUUAAUUUAUUAACUGGGAGUUGUACGGUGUCACUUCCUAUUAUUUGAUAUCUUAGUAUAAGAUUAAACCCUGUUGACAGGGUGUGGUAGUAGUAAAGAACAAAAAAUAGACUAAAAGAAUGAACUUAAUGAAAAAUAAAUCCAUUACACGCAAUACGAUAACACGUAUCGAUGUUCAUUAAUUAUCUCGUGCAAUGUUACCUAGUUCCACUACAUUUGGCUGCACAAAUUCGUCAGUAUUUAUUAACUGUGUUUUAUAUAUUUUAAGUUAGAUAGUUAAUUAUAUUAAGGUGCUAUGGAGUAACACAUACACACACACAAGAAUAUUAAAUAUACUUUGAAUCUUUACCCCCUUCUUGCCAUUUGGUUGGAUAUAUAUAUAUAUGCUUUGUUCACGGAGAGUGAAAGUGAAGUUUGAAAUUUAGGGGAAGUCCCGCCCAUGAGCUUCCAUUGGUCUCCCAUAUAUAAUAGAGUACUCCGCCUAAACCUAUUGAAUUCCUUGACUUCGUUUCCAUUUGACAUUUUAACCUAGUCCCCUAUGUACGCUCCAUCUAACCUAACGGAGAAGCCUAGUCAAGCUUUAAAAGGUUUUUACAAAAAUAAAAAAGCAGUCCAAAGAAACUGGAACAUCUGUGCAUUCUCAAAAUUUAAAAGUCGCCAUGCUGUCUGCAACUCUACCAACAGUUGGUCGACAAAUACAAGCAGUUGGACACCUGUUCUUUUGUCAUUCUAAUUUUGGUUAUGUCAUCUUUCUUUAAUAACUUUUAAUCAGCACAAUCAAUUACGGCUUAGAUAUUUAACAAACAUUUCCACAAACAUGCUUGGAUGGUAGAAAAUAUCAAAUAAUUCAGUUCGAUAUCUGAAAAGUGGUAAUAUCUGCAUGUAAACAGAGAUAAAAAUAAAGAAUAGAAUCAGGAAUAAAA